rnacentral:lncRNA from 1 species
GGGGCCCAGAUGCGGCGUCCUCCUCACCCCAGCACCACAGGCCCAGAGGGCAGGUGGGGUAUAAGUACUUUAUAGGAUUAAUCGGCGUGAGACUCAUCCCCCUCAUCCUCACCAGUGUCGGGUGUCAGAGAGAAAUGCUAUCUCAGCAUGAGGGAAUCGCGGCUAACGAGGCAGGCGCUGUCUGCAGUGGCUUCAGAGCGGCUCUGACGAGCAUCUCCUGGUUAGGAGGUGAGCGGUCUCUCUAGGGAGGACACAGCCUGGCCACAGGAAGAGAGGGACUUCUCCUACCUAGACCUGAAUCUUGAAACCCUGGCGACAUCAGAGUCACUAGGUCCAUGUGACACCUGCUCAGAACAGGACUUGAACUUGCGUUCAUCUCUCAUUCUGCCUUGGUAGUUUGUUCUAUGGGCCCAAUGGUGACCCAGUUCUGAAAACCUAUUCCCAUAGCUUGUUCUUUCAGUGAAAAAAAUUAUGCUGAUUUUCUAUAGAUCUGCAAAAUUCCGCACAUACGUGUUUGGAGGUGCAUUAAUUAUGCCCUUAGCAUCAGGCAUUGGGU